rnacentral:rRNA from 1 species
CCUACGGGGUGCAGCAGUGGGGAAUAUUGCACAAUGGGCGCAAGCCUGAUGCAGCCAUGCCGCGUGUGUGAAGAAGGCCUUCGGGUUGUAAAGCACUUUCAGCGGGGAGGAAGGCGAUAAGGUUAAUAACCUUGUCGAUUGACGCUACCCGCAGAAGAAGCACCGGCUAACUCCGUGCCAGCAGCCGCGGUAAUACGGAGGGUGCAAGCGUUAAUCGGAAUUACUGGGCGUAAAGCGCACGCAGGCGGUCUGUCAAGUCGGAUGUGAAAUCCCCGGGCUCAACCUGGGAACCGCAUUCGAAACUGGCAGGCUAGAGUCUUGUAGAGGGGGGUAGAAUUCCAGGUGUAGCGGUGAAAUGCGUAGAGAUCUGGAGGAAUACCGGUGGCGAAGGCGGCCCCCUGGACGAAGACAGACGCUCAGGUGCGAAAGCGUGGGGAGCAAACAGGAUUAGAUACCCCUGUAGUC